AUUGAACGCUGGCGGCAGGCCUAACACAUGCAAGUCGAACGGUAACAGGAAGCAGCUUGCUGCUUCGCUGACGAGUGGCGGACGGGUGAGUAAUGUCUGGGAAGCUGCCUGAUGGAGGGGGAUAACUACUGGAAACGGUAGCUAAUACCGCAUAAUGUCGCAAGACCAAAGAGGGGGACCUUCGGGCCUCUUGCCAUCGGAUGUGCCCAGAUGGGAUUAGCUUGUUGGUGGGGUAACGGCUCACCAAGGCGACGAUCCCUAGCUGGUCUGAGAGGAUGACCAGCCACACUGGAACUGAGACACGGUCCAGACUCCUACGGGAGGCAGCAGUGGGGAAUAUUGCACAAUGGGCGCAAGCCUGAUGCAGCCAUGCCGCGUGUAUGAAGAAGGCCUUCGGGCUGUAAAGUACUUUCAGCGGGGAGGAAGGGAGUAAAGUUAAUACCUUUGCUCAUUGACGUUACCCGCAGAAGAAGCACCGGCUAACUCCGUG
rnacentral:rRNA from 1 species